rnacentral:rRNA from 1 species
CCUACGGGAGACAGCAGUGGGGGAUAUUGCACAAUGGGGGGAACCCUGAUGCAGCGACGCCGCGUGGGUGAAGGAGUGCUUCGGCAUGUAAAGCCCUAUCGGCAGGGAAGAAGCAAGACGGUACCUGACGAAGAAGCCCCGGCUAACUACGUGCCCGCAGCCGCGGUAAUACGGAGGGGGCGAGCGUUAUCCGGAUCCACUGGGUGUAAAGGGAGCGUAGACGGCCAUGCAAGCCAGGGGUGAAAGCCCGGGGCCCAACCCCGGGACUGCCCUUGGAACUGCAUGGCUGGAGGGCGGGAGGGGCAGGCGGAAUUCCUGUUGUAGCGGUGACAUGCGUAGAUAUCAGGAGGAACACCGGCGGCGAAGGCGGCCUGCUGGACCGCGACUGCCGUUGAGGCUCGAAAGCGUGGGGAGCGAACAGGAUUAGAUACCCCAGUAGUC